rnacentral:rRNA from 1 species
UACGUAGGGAGCAAGCGUUGUCCGGAAUCAUUGGGCGUAAAGCGCGCGUAGGCGGCCCCGUAAGUCCGCUGUGAAAGUCAAAGGCUCAACCUUUGAAAGCCGGUGGAUACUGUGGGGCUAGAGUCCGGAAGAGGCGAGUGGAAUUCCUGGUGUAGCGGUGGAAUGCGCAGAUAUCAGGAGGAACACCGAUGGCGAAGGCAGGUCACUGGGCCGCAACUGACGCUGAGGAGCGAAAGCAUGGGGAGCGAACAGG